AACGAACGCUGGCGGCAGGCUUAACACAUGCAAGUCGAGCGCCCCGCAAGGGGAGCAGCAGACGGGUGAGUAACGCGUGGGAACGUACCUUUUGGUUCGGAACAACUCCGGGAAACUGGAGCUAAUACCGGAUAAGCCCUAACGGGGAAAGAUUUAUCGCCGAAAGAUCGGCCCGCGUCUGAUUAGCUAGUUGGUGAGGUAACGGCUCACCAAGGCGACGAUCAGUAGCUGGUCUGAGAGGAUGAUCAGCCACACUGGGACUGAGACACGGCCCAGACUCCUACGGGAGGCAGCAGUGGGGAAUAUUGGACAAUGGGCGCAAGCCUGAUCCAGCCAUGCCGCGUGAGUGAUGAAGGCCUUAGGGUUGUAAAGCUCUUUUGUCCGGGAAGAUAAUGACUGUACCGGAAGAAUAAGCCCCGGCUAACUUCGU
rnacentral:rRNA from 1 species